rnacentral:misc_RNA from 1 species
GCCACUGUAACACUAUCCUCACCUGCAAAUUAAGAUACAGUCUAAUAAAUGGAGGAAUAAAUGAUUAACACCGACAAUUUGAAGCAACAAAGGAACAGCUUUCAGUCAACCACUACAUGAAUAAAACAAAUAAUUAAGUACACACUCAAUAAACAAGCAAAUAAAGACAAAUGUACGUGGUGUUUUAACCAGAAUAUAACCCUUCGUGUUUGAAACAUGCAGAAGAUUCAAGAUCAGAAUUCCCAGUAAAAGGUUUUACAACAACAUAUCGAAACAUGUGUCAAUGCAAUUUUUUCCUUUUUGUUAUAAAACAAAGCUACAUUUAGACAGCCAAAAAGAAAAUUAAAAUGAACCUAGAAAUGAAAAG